AACGAACGCUGGCGGCAGGCCUAACACAUGCAAGUCGAGCGAGGUAGCAAUACCUAGCGGCGGACGGGUGAGUAACGCGUGGGAACGUACCCUUUGGUUCGGAAUAGCCCCGGGAAACUGGGAGUAAUACCGGAUACGGUCGAGAGACGAAAGAUUUAUCGCCGAAGGAUCGGCCCGCGUUGGAUUAGGUAGUUGGUGGGGUAAUGGCCUACCAAGCCGACGAUCCAUAGCUGGUUUGAGAGGAUGAUCAGCCACACUGGGACUGAGACACGGCCCAGACUCCUACGGGAGGCAGCAGUGGGGAAUCUUGUGCAAUGGGCGCAAGCCUGACACAGCAACGCCGCGUGCGGGAAGAAGGCCUUCGGGUCGUAAACCGCUUUCAGCAGGAACGAAAAUAGACGGUACCUGCAGAAGAAAGGUGCGGCCGAACUACGUG
rnacentral:rRNA from 1 species